ACACUACACCUGAUGGAAAAACGUUCUUCUUCUAUUAGUGAUCUUUGUAAUUUCUUCUUUGGAUGAAUGAUGAAGGAGAUAUGAUGAGCGAAAGCAUUAAAGAAACUCAAGAGGAGUUUCCAUGGAUUGAAGUGGAGUUAGGAAUUUGUGAGAGUGAGAGGUGAGGCCAACUCACUAGGAAAGAGUCUAGGCUAAGUCUUGAAGGAGACUAACCUAGGGAGAACUUAAGAACGAGUAGAAUGGCCAAAAUUAGGCAGCAUUUCAUUACUAAUUCCAAGUUAAAGAAAUACAUGUAUAAGAGACUCCUAUUUAUAGGAGAAAGUCUCUCAAAAACUCUCAAAUGAGAGUGUGACAAGUGUCACCACCUUAUUGGUGCAAAUCCUCUCCAUUAAGGAGAAGACAUGUGGAGACUCAUGUCUUCCUUGCCUACAUUUCUAUUUGCACCCCUUUUUUACUAUUUUACACAUUACUUUGUUUUCUAUUUACAUCUUUCUCUACUUUGGCCCAAAAUACAAGGCCCAAAACUUCCUAACUACUCUAUACAAUUUUUACAAGGCUAAGAAGAAGAAAAAGACUUUACAAGCUCUUCAUUAAAGCUCGAUCUUCGUCUAUCUUCUUGGCCGAAAGUUUUGAGGCUGGACGGUUUCCAUCAUCCCCACCCUCUUGAAAAGGAUCUGUCCUCAGAUCUGAAUGAUGCUCAAUGACAACAGCCUCUGUUUAUUUGAUGUUUUCCUCCUGGGUCAAAUGUCAAUCUACAAUAAACAUCAAACAAACAUGAGAUCAAUUUCUUUUUUAAAAGAAAAUUAAAACAAAAGAAAACUAAACAAAAAUAAGGCCCUUUAUCUUUAAAUUUCUUUUUAAAGAAAAACAUAAGGUCCCUUUCAAAAAUAUUUUUAUUCACUUUGUGUUGUUUAUUGCCCAAGCUAGGCAACAACAUCACAAAGUUUGGUUUUUGAGAUUUUUGUAAAGAAGAAUGAGCAUUAUAUAAUUGAAAAGAAGAGUUCAAAGUAUUGCAAUCCCCCUUUAAGGAUUCUUUCUUAGCCAUGCUUUGAAGGAGUGUCAUAAAAGGCUCUUCUUCUUUGUGGGUUUCCUCUUCUUCCUUUUCAAUCAAACAUUCUUCUGUAUUUUUUGUGGAGGAAAUAUUUAUAUCUAUAUCUGGUUCAGCUCCAAACAUAGAUUUUUCUUCAAGCACAUCCUUACAAGGGUUUUCUAGAGAAGAUAAAAUGUUAUCGAUAAUUGAUUCAACUCCAGAAAAAGAGUUUUUUGUACUUUCCUUUUCUAUCAUCACUUUUUCUCUAUUUUCUUUCUCUUCUCUAUCUUUCCUUUCGUUCUCCUCUCUUUCCCUUUUCUCCUUCUCUUCUUUCUUUCUGUCAAGAGCUUGGAAUUUUUCUCUAAACUCCUUUUCUCUUCUAACAUAUUAUUUUUCUCUGUAUAUAAAAUUUCUUCCUUUUUCUACAAGCUCUUUCAUUUCUUCUCUAAGCUUUUUCUUUUUCACAUAUGAAGGUGGAACAAACUUUCUUCUCAUACACAUCUUCAAUUCAUCCCAAUUAAGUACUUCUGAUUUUCUGCCAUUAAUAACAUCAGUUUCCCUUUUUGUCCACCAAGACCUAGCAUAUUCUUGAAAACUUAGGGUAGCCAUGGAAAAUCUACUAAAUUCAUCCAAUUGAUGUUUUUCAAAGAUUUGAUCAACUUUUGUUUCCCAUUCUAAAUAUGCUUCAACAUUUUUAUUUCCAUCAAAGUAAGGAAUGUAUACUUCAGGCUCGGUAGAAUAAUAUAAACUUCUAUGCUCAAAACACAUCCCUUCCUUUUUUUGAUAAUGAGGGUUAUAAAUCUUUCUUCUACUAGGAUGAUAAGUAUACAUAGACAUAUUAAGCUUUGUAUUUAAAAGAUUUUUCAGAAGAAGGAAAGUGAGUUUAGCACACAAGGUAAAUUCCCAAGAAAGAGAGGUGGGUCACAAUGGACACUCUUAAGUACCAAGUCUUUCCUAGCUAAAACUUAUCCCAAUGCACUUCACAAAUCUCCUUGCAAUGAAAACUUCUUCAACACAAACAAAGAGUUUUCUAAAGAAAGAAACUAAAAGAAAGCUUUUAAAAACUAAGAAUUUAAAUUGCAAAAAUUUAAACUAGACGACUCCUAAUGGUGAGGCUUGUUGGCACUUGUGAACCUUCAAGACACACUCACCGUCUAAAGCGUGUAUCUAAUAAGAAAAUUAAAGAAAACUUGUAGGAGAUAGAAGAACACCAAAGGCUCUUCCAAGACACCUAAAGUAAAGAUAAUGGCCAAAUUACAAAACAAUUGAAAUCACGCAAAAUUUAAAAAAAAAAAAAAAUCUUCAAAGUUCUCUUCUCUUCUCUCACAAGUGUUUCUCUCCAAGCUUUUACUUGUUUGUCCUCCAAAGGUGAGUACCCCUUGCAAAGUCUUUUGCCUUCUCUUAGGAUGCUACCUAGAAGUUAGCUCAAUUCUCACAAAGAACAAAUUCAAGGUAUAUUUCACUUCAAGAGGUCAAUAAUAAAAGCAAUAAAUGCUCAAUUUGAAGAGUGAAACUCAAAGGAGAUUAGAGAUGACAAACACAAAGAUUAUCCAUAAAAUCAAGACAAGCAAGAAAUUAAAGGUUUUCAAGAAAGUAGGCACUCAAAAGAAAAUAGCUAAAGAUAGGCACUAGAAUGGAUUACAAAAAAUAAAAAAUAAAAAAAUAUCAUUUUUUUUCAAUGUGCAUAAGACCCAAACACCAAAUGAUGAUCCUAUAUGUUUUGGCCCAAAAUGCAAUUGGGCAGAAUUUGUUUCCACUUUUCUAAUCCCAAUCUCGUGGCCCCACAGAAAGUCCUCAAUCGCUGAAUUCUUUCAUCAAAAUCAUGCUUCAAUACUGCACCGUUUCUGCUUGUGUGCCAAGAUUCAAUUCUUCAAAAGCACUAUUCAGCAAACCAUGGACCCCACCAUGUGAAUGUCAAUUUCUUGCCAAAUUGAACAACUUCACGUUCUCGCAGCCACCUAUACUUUGCUCUAAUACCAAAUGAUGGAAAAACGUUCUUCAUCUAUUAGGGAUCUUUGUAAUUUCUUCUUUGGAUGAAUGAUGAUGGAGAUAUGAUGAGCGGAAGCAUUAAAGAAACUCAAGAGGAGUUUCCAUGGAUUGAAGUGGAGUUAGGAAUUUGUGAGAGUGAGAGGUGAGGCCAACUCACUAGGAAAGAGUCUAGGCUAAGUCUUGAAGGAGACUAACCUAAGGAGAACUUAAGAACAAGUAGAAUGGCCAAAAUUAGGCAGCAUUUCAUUACUAAUUCCAAGUUACUUCUUGCAAAUCCACACCAAAUUUUGUCAAUUGCCACCACCAGAAUUUGCUUUCUAAAUAAAUUGAAUUGUCGCUUGAACACUACACCAUUAUCCUCACAAAAGUAAUUAUUGGAACUAAUUCAACUCAUCACUCCACUGGUUCUGCACAUACUUCCCAAUUUUGACCCAAAGUGCAACUUCAAAGCAAAUUAAACACUAAUUGUGUUCCAGAAUCAACUAAAUUGUUGUUAAUUCAAUUCCAAUUCAGCACUGCAAUUAAACCAAUCAUUCAUAAUACCAUCGUAAAAUUGAAAUACAUUACUAAUUUAGCUACUGCACUAGGAAUCACAAAUUCAAAGUCAAGUGAUUAAAGCCAUGAAAUCUGCAAUAAAACAUUGCACCAAGAGUAGAAAACCAAUGCCACAUGAGUCAAAUAAUUUGCACCGUUUUCAGAUGCACUGAACAACUCCAAAUUUAUGUUUUAGAGUUGCAAUGAUCCUCAACAUAGUGGUCUGAACCAAUUGCUUGUAUCAGAAACACUAAUUCACCUCCAAUUCUCGCGAGCCCCAAUGUUUUUUUUAAAAAAAAAAACAAAAUAGUGAACUCUUGCACUGUUCUUCUCACGCAAAUUUCAGAUUUCCAAAUCAAUGGCAAUUCAAUUGGCUCACUGGACCAAUGCAUCAACCAAUUAUAUGCAGAUUUCUUUUCUAAAGAAAAUUGCUUAGCACCAUUUGGGAAAAUUUGCACCAAGACAAACCGCUUGGACUAAUAGUUUCUGGAGUGCCCCAACGCUUCUACAAGACCAGUAGCACACCACCAAUCAAGAAAUGUUUAAGUUGUUAAAACACUGUUUCAAUUUUAAUCCUUCCCCUUCUAAUCAGCCAGCGAAUGCCAUCAACGAAAACAAAUUGUGCAUAAAUUUUGCACUAAAACAGAUUACAGUUCCAACAAUCACCAAACCAGAAGAAUAAAAAAGAAUUCAGCAACACUUCAUGGACUUCAAUAAUUUUAUCAAAUAGUAUUCUGCAACAAUUAUUUUUUAUCACUUAAUCAUUUUAUAAAACCCGUGAACUGCAGUUCUCAACCAAACUCAAUUGCUUCAACUCCACACAGCACUGCUUCCAGCAGUCACAGAAACAACUCCAGAAAAAAGCACAAAUUCAACUCAAAUAAAUUUGUUUGCGUAUUCACAAAAUCCACCGUCAAUUUCAACGAGUGCCUAUUCCAAUUCGAACUAGCACAAUUCUCCGAUAAAACAUGUGAACUGGAAAUUAAGACAAGAUAUGAGGAUGCAGUGGCUAGGUUAAACAGUACCUGAGGUCACGAACAACACCGCUUCCAACAAUUCCACCGAAUGGAUUUACGCUGCUUCAACGAAGAACAACGAAAUAGUUCCGAUUAACACUUUUCCAAUGCCAUUCUGGAUCCGGCAGAGAUGUAAACUUAUGUUUCCGCAGGAAACCACAACAUAUCCGUUUCGCAAUCACUACUCAGUGUUCUACGAUCACAGGAUUUAAAAAUCGUUCCAGAGAAUGAAGAACAAGAUGAAAAAUGCACCGAAAACUCACCGGAAAUGUUGCUUCCGAUCACCGAUUUAGGUUACCGGAAACGCAAAAACCUCUGUCCACUGAUUAUGUUUGCCGGAAGCCGCAAACCUCCUUAUACCAAUUUCGUUCGCCUAAAACCACAAAACACCUCCGUUCGUGAUUCCGCCAACACCACAGCGCUUCACACCGAACAAAUUCUUCGUCAAACUUAUGUUUCUCACCUUCGCACCAAACUCAACUCACACGUUUUCAAAAUCACAUAAAAAAUGAAGAACAAGAUGAACGGAUUGAAAACGCAUAUGAACGUGAACGAGCAACAGAUUUUCGUGAAAUUUUGACAAUAGAAACGGAUUCAGAACUGCUAUUCGCACCACAAAUCCACUGAGAUCUCACAAACAGCUCCAGAUUACUCUUCAAACUUGGAAAUUUCUUUUUGAACCACUAACAAUUUUUUGGAAAAAUUUUCGAGAAUUUUCGAAAAUGAAUUUUGAGAGAAUGAUAAUGGAAACCUAACUCAAAGAAAAUUGCUAAUGAUCUAGCAAUUUAUGAACUCAAAAAUGAAAAUCAAAAGCACUCAAGAGCUCUAAUCUAUGAAGAAAUUUGAAAAAAACUUCAAAAAGUUCAACUAAUGGAGUUUAUGACAAAUUUUGACUAAAAAUGACUCUAGACAAAACAUAUAUGAUUAUAAAAUAAAAAUGACUCAAUUAUAUAAAAAUUUCACUGAACAAAUUUGAAGAAAACUCAAAAAAUUCAAAAGCACACAUGAACAUGAACACAAGAACACCUAAAAGCACAUACAUGAAGGUUCAAGUAAGAACAAUUAAUUUAAACAGAACAAAAAGACAAAAAACACAAAAUCAAUCGAUAAACAUUCAAGAAAAUUAUGAACAACACGAAAAUUAGAAAAAAAUUGAAGAAUAUCUUACAACCAUAACUGUGAAUACCAAAUGAUGGAAAAACGUUCUUCUUCUAUUAGUGAUCAUUGUAAUUUCUUCUUUGGAUGAAUGAUGAAGGAGAUAUGAUGAGCGGAAGCAUUAAAGAAACUCAAGAAGAGUUUCCAUGGAUUGAAGUGGAGUUAGGAAUUUGUGAGAGUGAGAGGUGAGGUCAACUCACUAGGAAAGAGUCUAGGCUAAGUUUUUUUGAAGGAGACUAACCUAGGGAGAACUUAAGAAAAAGUAGAAUUGCCAAAAUUAGGCCGCAUUUCAUUACUAAUUCCAAGUUACUUCUUGCAGAUCCGCACCAAAUUUCGUCAAUUGCCACCACCAAAAUUUGAUUUCUAAAUAAAUUGAAUUGCCGCUUAAACACUACACCAUUAUCCUCACAAGAGUAAUUAUUGGCACUAAUUCAAGUCAUCACUCCAUUGGUUCUGCACAUACUUCCCAAUUUUUACCCAAAGUGCAACUUCAAAGCAAAUUAAACACUAAUUGUGUUCUGGAAUAAACUAAAUUGUUGUUAAUUCAAUUCCAAUUCAGCACUGCAACUAAACCAAUCAUUCAUAAUACCAUCGUAAAACUGAAAUACAUUACUAAUUUAGCUACUGCACUAGGAAUCACAAAUUCAAAGUCAAGUGAUUAAAGCUAUGAAAUCUGCAAUAAAACUUUGCACCAAGAGCAGAAAACCAAUGUCACAUUAGUCAAAUAAUUUGCACCGUUUUCAGAUGCACUGAACAUCCAAAUUUAUGUUUUAGAGUUACAAUGAUCCUCAACACAGUGGUCUGAACCAAUUCCUUGUAUCAGAAACACUAAUUCACCUCCAAUUCUCGCGAGCCCCAGUAUUUUUUUUUUUAAAAACAAAAUAGUGAGGUCUUGCACUGUUCAUCUCACGUAAAUUUCAGAUUUCCAAAUCAAUGGCAAUUCAAUUGGCUCACUGGACCAAUGCAUCAACCAAUUAUAUGCAAAUUUCUUUUCUAAAGAAAAUUGCUUAGCACCGUUUGGGAAAAUCUGCACCAAGACAAACCGCUUGGACUAGUAGUUUCUGGAGUGCCCCAACGCUUAUACUAGAUCAGCAGCACACCACUAAUCAAGAAAUGUUUAAGUUGUUAAAACACUGUUUCAAUUUUAAUCCUUCUUCUUCAAAUCAGCCAGCGAAUGCCAUCAACAAAAACAAAUUGAGCAUAAAUUUUGCACUAAAACAGGUUACAGUUCCAACAAUCACCAAACCAGAAGAAUAAAAAAGAAUUCAGCAACACAGCCAAAGCAACACUUCAUGGACUUCAAUAAUUUUAUCAAACAGUAUUCUGCAACAAUUUUUUUUAUCACUGAAUCAUUUUAUCAAACCCGUGAACUGCAGUUCUCAACCAAACUCAAUUGCUUCAACUCCACACAGCACUGCUUCCAACAGUCACAGAAACAACUCCAGACAAAAAGCACAAAAUCAACUCAAAUAAAUUUGUUUCCGUAUUCACAAAUUCCACCGUCAAUUUCAACGAGUGCCUAUUCCAAUUCGAACUAGCACAAUUCUCCGAUAAAACUUGCGAACUGGAAAUUAAGAGAAGAUAUGAGGAUGAGUGGCUAGAUUGCACAGUACCUUUGGUCACGAACAACACCGCUUCCAACAAUUCCACCGAAUGGAUUUAUGCUACUUCAACGAAGAACAACGAAACAGUUUUGAUUAACACUUUUCCAAUGCGAUUCUGGAUCCGACGGGGAUGUAAACUUAUGUUUCCGCUGGAAACUACAACAUCUCCGUUUCGCAAUCACUACUCAGUGUUCUCCGAUCACAGGAUUUGAAAAUCGUUCCAGAGAAUGAAGAACAAGAUGAAAAACGCACCUAAAACUCACCGAAAAUGCUGCUUCCAAUCACCGAUUUAGGUUACCGGAAACGCAAAAACCUUCGUCCACUGAUUAUGUUUGCCGGAAGCUGCAAAACCUCCUUACACCAAUUUCGUUCGCCAAAAACCGUAAAACACCUCCGUUCGUGAUUCCUGAGGGAUGUGAAGUUUUUAACUGCAAAGAAAAGUCAAAAGGAUCCAAAUUUGUAAGGGGACCAAAUCUUCUUGCUUGAAAUCUUUUAUGCAGGAAAACUAAAGAAAAAGGAGGGACUGAGUCAUCUGAUCAAGUUCUUGAAGAAAAAGACAGUCAUUGAAGCUGAAUCAAUGUUAUGAAAAAGACCUCAACAGUGAAAAGAGGUUUCUUGAUCAUAAAGCAC
rnacentral:lncRNA from 1 species